AGCCUCGGGGCCGGCCCCAGAGCCUCUCUUAAUGAAUGGUACUAUCAAUUGCCUGAGCAAGAAACCUGGGAUUUAUCCUUGACUUGUUUCUAGCCACUUAACCAUGGUCCCCAAGGUCUACUAUUUCUCUCUCUUUAUUUCUCUUCUAACUUUCUUUCCUAUCUAUAUAUGGAUUCUCAAAAGGAUAUCUUUACUGGCUCUAUCAGCCUCCACACUAUAGUGGAGUUAUUUUACUAAGAACAAAUCUGAUCAUGUUAAUUACUUCCCUAGAACUCUUCAAUGGCUCCUCCCACGAGCCAUAAAAUAAAAUCCAAACCACUUAACACACCACCCCACCUACACAGUUGGUCUUUUCUCUUCUUAUUCUUCUCAGCCCAAAUUCACCUUCCAGGCUUGCAUUUCCAAGUCUUUUUAAUGGCUACUCUCUGUCUACAAUGCUUCCUAUCCCUUCUUCCUGGUGGACACUUGUUUUGUCCAUUAGGACUCAGUUCAGGCAUCAUCUACAAGGAACCCUUCCCUGGUCCCACCCACAGCCAACACCCAGUCUGAGGGGUUCCAUCUGUCUGAGAACACCGGCACAGUUUCUUACAGUGCACUGUAAAUGUCUGUUUACCUUGCUUGUUUCCCACGUCUUUGAGCAGGAACUGGUGUCUUAUUCAUCUUGUAGCGCCGGCACCCGGAAGGGCUCCCCACACACAGUAGGUCCUCAACAAACAUUAGGUCUUUCCCUUUCCUCCCUUAAGGAAUUUGGCCAAAGUCAUACAGCUAGAGAGUGGCAGAGCUGUGUGUUAACCAAAGACUAAACCUAGAGCUCAUGCUUUCUACAAUGCCAUGCUACUCUCCAACCUAGACAGAUGCCAUAGUUUUCAUCGGUGACUUGGAUUUGGUUCAGGAAAAUAAGACA